CUUAGGAUGUUGAGAGACUGGCAUCCAGUAUCACUUCUGUCCCAUACUUUUCCAUUACUUCCUUAUUUUGGAAAGCAUAGGAAGAGCAUAAAAUCCAAUAGCUUGGAAAAAUAAUUUAAUCUCCCUGGAUUCAAUAGCUAGGAAAAAAAAUUUAAUCU